rnacentral:rRNA from 1 species
GACGAACCGUGCGAACGUUGUUCGGAUUCACUGGGCUUAAAGGGCGCGUAGGCGGGCGAGCGAGUCCGGGGUGAAAUCUUUCGGCUUAACCGGAAAAGUGCCUCGGAUACCGGUCGCCUGGAGGGAGGUAGGGGCAGCCGGAACUUCCGGUGGAGCGGUGAAAUGCGUUGAUAUCGGAAGGAACGCCGGUGGCGAAAGCGAUCCGCUGGGCCUCUACUGACGCUGAGGCGCGAAAGCCAGGGGAGCAAACGGG